GGACCCACACAAGCAGUGGAUCACGUGGUUUAAUUCGACAAUAAACGGGGAACCUUACCCAGACUUGACAUCUAUAGAAUCUUUUGGAAACAGAAGAGUGCCCGUAAGGGAGCUAUAAGACAGGUGCUGCAUGGUUGUCGUCAGCUCGUGCCUUGAGGUGUUCGGUUAAGUCCGUUAACGAGCGCAACCCAUGUCAUUAGUUGUAUUUUCUAAUGAGACUGCCUAGGUUAACUAGGAGGAAGGUGUGGAUGACGUCAAAUCAGCAUGGCUUUUACGUCUGGGGCUACACACAUGAUACAAUGGUGCGUACAAAGAGCAGCAAUACGGUAACGUGGAGCUAAUCUCAAAAACGCAUCUCAGUCCGGAUUGAGGGCUGCAACUCGCCCUCAUGAAGUUGGAAUUGCUAGUAAUCGUAAAUCAGACAUGUUACGGUGAAUAUGUUCCUGGGUCUU
rnacentral:rRNA from 1 species